UACGUAGGGGGCAAGCGUUGUCCGGAUUUAUUGGGCGUAAAGAGCGUGUAGGCGGCCUGACAAGUCUGCUGUGAAAACUCGAGGCUCAACCUCGAGAUGUCGGCGGAAACUGUCUGGCUAGAGUCCGGAAGAGGAGAGUGGAAUUCCUGGUGUAGCGGUGGAAUGCGCAGAUAUCAGGAGGAACACCGGUGGCGAAGGCGGGUCUCUGGGCAGUAACUGACGCUGAGGAGCGAAAGCGUGGGGAGCGAACAGG
rnacentral:rRNA from 1 species